rnacentral:rRNA from 1 species
GCGCGGCCUACCAUGCAAGUCGGGCGGUAACACAGGGUAGCUUGCUCCUGGGUGACGAGCGGCGGACGGGUGAGUAAUGUCUGGGAAACUGCCUGAUGGAGGGGGAUAACUACUGGAAACGGUAGCUAAUACCGCAUAACGUCGCAAGACCAAAGAGGGGGACCUUCGGGCCUCUUGCCAUCAGAUGUGCCCAGAUGGGAUUAGCUAGUAGGUGGGGUAACGGCUCACCUAGGCACGAUCCCUAGCUGGUCUGAGAGGAUGACCAGCCACACUGGAACUGAGACACGGUCCAGACUCCUACGGGAGGCAGCAGUGGGGAAUAUUGCACAAUGGGCGCAAGCCUGAUGCACCAUGCCGCGUGUAUGAAGAAGGCCUUCGGGUUGUAAAGUACUUUCAGCGGGGAGGAAGGUGUUGUGGUUAAUAACCACAGCAAUUGACGUUACCCGCAGAAGAAGCACCGGCUAACUCCGUGCCAGCAGCCGCGGUAAUACGGAGGGUGCAAGCGUUAAUCGGAAUUACUGGGCGUAAAGCGCACGCAGGCGGUCUGUCAAGUCGGAUGUGAAAUCCCCGGGCUCAACCUGGGAACUGCAUUCGAAACUGGCAGGCUAGAGUCUUGUAGAGGGGGGUAGAAUUCCAGGUGUAGCGGUGAAAUGCGUAGAGAUCUGGAGGAAUACCGGUGGCGAAGGCGGCCCCCUGGACAAAGACUGACGCUCAGGUGCGAAAGCGUGGGGAGCAAACAGGAUUAGAUACCCUGGUAGUCCACGCCGUAAACGAUGUCGACUUGAGGUUGUGCCCUUGAGGCGUGGCUUCCGGAGCUAACGCGUUAAGUCGACCGCCUGGGGAGUACGGCCGCAGGUUAAAACUCAAAUGAAUUGACGGGGGCCCGCACAAGCGUGGAGCAUGUGGUUUAAUUCAUGCAACGCGAAGAACCUUACCUACUCUUGACAUCCAGAGAACUUCAAAUGCUUUGGUGCCUUCGGGAACUCUGAAACAGGUGCUGCAUGGCUUUCGUCAGCUCGUGUUGUGAAAUGUUGGGGUUAAGUCCCCCACGAGCCCAACCCUUUUCCUUUUUCCACGGUAGGCCCGGAACUCAAAAGAA